AUGAACGCUGGCGGCGUGCCUAAUACAUGCAAGUCGAGCGAACGGACGAGAAGCUUGCUUCUCUGAUGUUAGCGGCGGACGGGUGAGUAACACGUGGAUAACCUACCUAUAAGACUGGGAUAACUUCGGGAAACCGGAGCUAAUACCGGAUAAUAUUUUGAACCGCAUGGUUCAAAAGUGAAAGACGGUCUUGCUGUCACUUAUAGAUGGAUCCGCGCUGCAUUAGCUAGUUGGUAAGGUAACGGCUUACCAAGGCAACGAUGCAUAGCCGACCUGAGAGGGUGAUCGGCCACACUGGAACUGAGACACGGUCCAGACUCCUACGGGAGGCAGCAGUAGGGAAUCUUCCGCAAUGGGCGAAAGCCUGACGGAGCAACGCCGCGUGAGUGAUGAAGGUCUUCGGAUCGUAAAACUCUGUUAUUAGGGAAGAACAUAUGUGUAAGUAACUGUGCACAUCUUGACGGAACCUAAUCAGAAAGCCACGGCUAACUACGUG
rnacentral:rRNA from 1 species